AUAGGACUCUGGAAGAUUUCGACCUCUGGUUUCUUAUCAUUAUGCUAAUGACACCCUUCCUCCUCCCCUCCCUCGCCUGGGCCCCUCCUGGGAAGCACCCAGCCCGGGCUUAUGUAACUGUGAUUUGCCACCACUGCCAAGUUACACUGAGCUGUGGCAAAAUUGCUUCCCUCCCUGUGGUCACCAGGGUGGGAGCUCAGUUCAGGAUAACCGGAUGACUUCACACUUAACCCGGGACAGGGGACGCAGGCCCUGCAGAGUUGAGCCCUGGGAACUGGAGCAGACAGCUCUCAGGAGUGGGAAAAGUGUCACCGGGAACGCAGGAUUCCAUGCAGUGCGUUCAGGGGAGCAGCGGGGAGCAAAAGGAGCAUAGAGCCACGGAGCGGCUCGAUCCUGCGCAUGCUCAGGAGUCCCUUCCCGUCAAGCCGGUGGGCUGUCACAGUAUCUCGGGUGCUAUCUACACUCACUUCUAACCAGGCCAGCAAAGUACCUGCCCCUUCGACGAAGUUUCAGGUCCCCAUCGAGUUACCGACAAGAGCUAAGCCACAGAAUUUGAAGUUGAACUAGUUCACACACAGGCAUUGCUGACGUCCGCAGAUCUGACGCCUCUUCCUGCACUUCAGGAUGAAGAGAUGGGUUUCGACUCCUACCCUCUGACUCCCUCGUGGGAGACUCCCCCCACCCCACCCCUUAGUCCACAGUGACCCAGCUGUGACGGGGGGCGGGGGGUGCUUCUCAAGGCAAUUCUUCUAUGUCAGGAAUGUUAACCCUAAAGAGGUUUGAUGUCCCAUAAGCAUAUUCAUCUUUGCAUGUUUAUUAAAUUAAGCCUUCCACGAAUCCACAACAACAUAUUGUUCAUUAAUAGGGAAA
rnacentral:lncRNA from 1 species